AUGAGUGACUUGACUGCAAAUAAUCAAAGCAGGAGGCGGCCGGACCUAGCGAGCGCCGGCGCGUGUGGCGUGAGGGGAAGCCGCCUGCCCGCCCCCUUCGCCUUCCCUUCUCUCCCCCUCCCGGAUCCCCGCCAACCGCGGAGCAGCACCAACUCGGCGCCGGCGGCCAAAGUCAGUAAAAAGAAGCUCAACUCCAACCACGACGGGGCCGACGAGACCUCAGAAAAAAACAGCAGGAAGCAAUUGAACAUAUCGAUGAAGUACAAAAUGAAAUAGACAGACUUAAUGAACAAGCCAGUGAGGAGAUUUUGAAAGUAGAACAGAAAUAUAACAAACUCCGCCAACCAUUUUUUCAGAAGAGGUCAGAAUGGAUCGGUAAAAUCCCAAAUUUUGGGGUAACAACAUUUGUCAACCAUCCACAGGUGUCCGCGCUGCUUGGGGAGGAGGAUGAAGAGGCGCUGCAUUAUUUGACCAGAGUUGAAGUGACGGAAUUUGAAGGUAUUAAAUCAGGUUACAGAAUAGAUUUUUAUUUUGAUGAAAACCCUUACUUUGAAAAUAAAGUUCUCUCCAAAGAAUUUCAUCUGAAUGAGAGUGGUGAUCCAUCUUCAAAGUCCACUGAAAUCAAAUGGAAAUCUGGAAAGGAUUUGACGAAACGUUCCAGUCAGACACAGAAUAAAGCCAGCAGGAAGAGGCAGCGUGAGGAACCAGAGAGCUUCUGUACCUGGUUACUGACCAUUCUGAUGCAGGUGCAGAUGAAUUAGGAGAGGUCAUCAAAGAUGAUAUUUGGCCAAAUCCAUUACAGUACUACUUGGUUCCUGAUAUGGAAGAUGAAGAAGGAGGAGGAGGAGAAGAUGAGGAUGAUGAUGAUGAUGAUGAAGGUUUGGAAGAUAUUGAUGAAGAAGGGGAUGAGGAUGAAGGUGAAGAAGACGAAGAUGAUGAUGAAGGGGAGGAAGGAGAGGAGGAUGAAGGAGAAGACGACUAACAGAACACUGAUAGAUUCCAACCUUUUUUAAAAUUUUUCUCCAGUCCCUGGGAGCAAGUUGCAGUCUUUUUUUUUUUUUUCCUCUUGUGCUCAGUCGCCCUGUUCUUGAGGUCUCUUUUCUCUACACCAUGAUUCUCAACUUAUUUUGGGGGGAAAUACCUUGAGCAGAAUACAAUGGGAAAAGAAUCUCUACUCGUUUCUGUUCCAAAUUCAUUUUUAUCCCUUCCUGUCUCAACAAAAACUGUAUGGAAGCAACACCGAGCUCUGUGGGAAAAAAGAAGAACCUGCUCCCUUCGCUCUGCUGGAAGCUGGAGGGUGCUGGGCCCCUGUGUAGUAAUGCAUAGAAUUCUAGCUUUUUUCCUCCUUUCUCUGUAUAUUGGGCUCAGAGAGUACACUGUGUCUCUAUGUGAAUAUGGACAGUUAGCAUUUACCAACAUGUAUCUGUCUACUUUCUCUUGUUUAAAAAAAGAAAAAAAAACUUUAAAAAAUGGGGUAUAGAAGGUCAGCAAAGGGUGGGUUUGAGAUGUUUGGGUGGGUUAAGUGGGCAUUUUGACAACAUGGCUUCUCCUUUGGCAUGUUUAAUUGUGAUGUUUAACGGACAUCCUUGCAGUUUAAGAUGACACUUUCAAAAUAAAUUCUCUCCUAAUGAUGACUUGAGCCCUACCACUCAAAUGGGAGAAUCAGCAGAACCUGUAGGAUCUUAUUUGGAAUUGACAUUCUCUAUUGUAAUUUUGUUCCUGUUUAUUUUUAAAUUUUCUUUUUGUUUCACUGGAAAGGAAAGAUGAUGCUCAGUUUUAAAUGUUAAAAGUGUACAAGUUGCUUUGUUACAAUAAAACUAGAUGUGUAAAAAAAAAAGAAUCAAAGCAAUGUAGAAUUUCACCAAGAGGACACGAUGAAAGAAAAUGAGUAGAUGGAAAUAUGAUGUCAUGUGAAUGGACUGGGUUCGCCUUGAUCAACCUCUUAUUUAUCAUAUCAAGUUAUCAAUGAUAAAUAAGGCCAUGAAAUUCACCAGGGUCACCAGAGGGAACCCAAUCAAUGACUGGCCAGACCAGAACUGAGAGGAAACUGAAUAAUAAGAAUAAUUAUAAUAACAAUAACAAUAAUUAAUAGUAAUAAAUUUUGACACACUUAUUAGCACAUUCCAGGUACUAUUUUAAGUGCUUUACAGAUAUUAACUCACUUGAUCUUCCUAAGAAGGCUGUAAAGUAAGAUACCAUUAUUGUUCCCAUUUUGCAUAUACUAGAACUGAGGCACAGAGAGGCUCCAUGGCGUGCCCAAAGACUCACAGAUGGUGGGUGGCCAAGCCAGAAUUUAAAUGCCAGGGAUUCCUAACUGUUCUUUAUGAAAGUCCUAUUCCAAUUAUGAUAUGUCUACAAAUGUUUAAAAGCCCAAUCCUAUGAACUUUUUUAAAGCAGAAUCUUUGUACAUUUGGCAUUUAAGAUGCUUGUAUGUUGACACGAUUGUAAGAGGGACUUUACCUAACAAAUGCAAUCAGUAUAACCUGGUUUCUCGUACCCUCAACGAAUCCCCAACAAUAAAUUUUUUUUAAAAAAGUCACUUCCACAUUAUUCUUAGUAAGGCAUCACAAGAAUGGAGAAGCAUGAAUCCUAUGUACUCAAUUUUGAUAUGAGGACAAUUAAUG